rnacentral:lncRNA from 1 species
GGAGUUGCUCUGCUCCCCUGCCCAACACCCCCCUCACCGCUGCCAGGCACAGCCCUGAUGCCCACCCCAACUCUGUGACCCCCACUUGACUCUAGCCCCCUUCCUCUGCCCACCCCUAGCCUGACUCUGCACCCCCUCAUCCCAACUCUGCACCCCUCCCCCACCCACUCUCACCCCAACGCUGCACCCCUUUCCCUGCCCCCACCAGGGACACUCCCCCAUAGCCCCCCCAGACAGGGGCACCUGCAGCCUCACACACCCUGCCUGUACCCAGCCCCGGGGCUGCAGUGGGGAUCCCCUUUGCUGGCCAGGCUGGACCUAUCGCUAGAGUGAGCAGCCAGCCUCAACCCACAUCGCGUGCUGCCGCGUUCCACCUUAAAGCCCGGCCAGCGCUUGCACUUCACCACCAGUAACCUUCCGCGGCCACCGGAGAGGGGGCGGAGCCACACGCUCAUUUAAAUAAUACUGCGGCUGAUUUGCAUGCUACCAAGAUGGCCGACGUUCGGAUUGGCCAGCGAUGAAACAGCCCCCACGGCCGCUCCCCGAUCCCACAGAGGGGCGUGGCCAGUGAUCAGAGGGCGGGGAUGUGGGGCUCAUUUGCAUAACGGCCCGACGCGUGCAGCUAGGGGAAGGCGGCUGUAUAGGGUUCUGUUUUUGAAUCUGCAGCGGAAGCGGCGAGAGACGGGAGCGCGAGCGCUGAGGCUGCGGCGGGAUUCACGGACACAGUGACCUCAGAGGGCUGCUGUUAAUGACAUCAGAUUCUUCUGAGAUGAGCUGUCUGAUGCCACAGUUGCAAAGGCUAAGAGGCCAGAAUUGCAUCACUGCAGUUAGAUGCACAUAGUAAGUAGACUAAUUUUAGAAGAAAGCUAUUCUAAAUGUAAGUGUAAAUGCCUUACUUUCUUCAUUAGAUAAAGUGCAUACUGAGUUGGCUCCAACAGAACAUUUUAUAUUUACAGUGAAGAGGCCUAACUUGGAAUAGUGAAUCAUAUGUCUGUCAAUGUUCUCUCUUGCAGCUUUAGUCCUCAUGUGUUUUGUGUAAGCAUUCGCUAUAAUAUAGGUGUGGUUUAGGCGAUAUUCUUGUAAUGUGUAGAAAAACUUCAAAACAAAAAUGGAAUUGAUUUUUUUAAAAACAAUUGUCAAGUUUUUCUUUGUGUAGUAGCUGUAACUUUUUUUUAUCCGUUGUAUAUGAAUGAUUAGUUCAAGUGUGCAAUCUGUAUUUUUUUGUUGCAUGUUGCAUAAUUUCAUUUCAUUUGGGGAUUUCAGAAGUAGAUAUAGGCUUUAAUUCUACAAGGGUUGUGACGUU